rnacentral:rRNA from 1 species
UACGUAGGAGGCGAGCGUUGUCCGGAGUUACUGGGCGUAAAGGGUGCGCAGGCGGCGUCACGCGUGGAUAGUUGAAAUCUCCUGGCUUACCUGGGAGGGUGGUAUCCAGACGGUGGCGCUUGAGGGUCGGAGAGGGGCGUGGAAUUCCGGGUGGAGCGGUGAAAUGCGUAGAGAUGUGGAGGAAUACCGAUGGCGAAGGCAGCCCCCUGGGUCAAUACUGACGCUCAUGCACGAAAGCGUGGGGAGCAAACAGG